UACGGAGGGUGCAAGCGUUAUCCGGAAUCACUGGGUUUAAAGGGUGCGUAGGCGGAUUAGUAAGUCAGUGGUGAAAUCUUUCGGCUUAACCGGAAAAUUGCCAUUGAUACUGCUGAUCUUGAGUGUGGUUGAAGUGGGCGGAAUGUGGCGUGUAGCGGUGAAAUGCUUAGAUAUGCCACAGAACACCGAUUGCGAAGGCAGCUCACUAAGCCAUUACUGACGCUGAGGCACGAAAGCGUGGGUAUCAAACAGG
rnacentral:rRNA from 1 species